rnacentral:rRNA from 1 species
GAUUUCUGACGAACCGGAGUGGCCCGUUCCCUUUCUGGGAAUGAGUGCCGCUUUGAGUUUGUCAUCCUUCCAGAGAGCUGCGUCUACCGUUUACUCGGCCGGACGUAUGCGAUCUGAAUCUAUUACUUUGAAAAAAUUAGAGUGUUUAAAGCAGGCUUAUGCUCUGAAUACAUUAGCAUGGAAUAAUAAUUUAGGACUUUGGUUCUAUUCUGUUGGUUUCUAGGACUGAAGUAAUGAUUGAUAGGGAUAGUUGGGGGUGCUAGUAUUCCGCGGCCAGAGGUGAAAUUCUUGGAUUCGUGGAAGACUAACUACUGCGAAAGCAUU